CCAACAGUGUAAAAGUGUUCUACUUCUCCAAAUCCUCUCCAGCACCUGUUGUUUCCUAAGCAUUACGUUGAGUUGAUUUUCAGAUUUCUCCUGCAGGUAACAACCAGAAAGAAUUUUGGGAUACUGUGUUAGUUAAGGUGCAUGCAGGAAUACAGAAAGCACAUUCGGUGUUUCAACAGAGGGGAUUUAAUUUAGGAAGUUGGUUAUAUAUAUUUCAGCCUUUUUGGAAGGCUGAAGUAACGAAAUGGGAACAAUGAGAAAACACAGAGAUGGUAACUGCAGAAGGAAGCUACCCCCACCAGGGCUGGGGAAUAAGGGAAAAGAUUAGGUCUAUUGUAACCUAAAGGAUCAGAGGAAGGGCCUUGAGGAGUUGAAGUCCAAUCUCUGAGGGGAACGCCCUGUAUGGCUGCUGAUGGCAUGUCAGGAGAUUAAAGGAGGGAUCUUAUAGAGCUGGAAUUCAAACAUCUGAGGAAGGAGCAAUACUGACUUCCUAGAGUUUGCACCUCUGAGAAAGCACUUUGAGGCUGACUCUAGGAGAUAGGAACUGUAUCCAACUACUGCUGUAAGGAUGAAGUAUUGCUGCUAGGUAGCACUGGUGGGAGCAGCAAGUAAAAAAGUGGGGAGAUGCAUUCUGCCGUCUCCUGAUUCCAGUCUCCCUCUACUGCCCCCUAUUGCCAGAAUCUAUCUAUUAGAAACAACUAGCAAAGGAAAAACAUGAUUUGCAGUCCCUUUUAGUGUCCCAGAGCAGGUGUUGGAGGUUUGGGAGCUGGGAGACAGUAGCUUACUACAUCACACAGGUAUGUAGGACACUUUUGGAUUACCAGAGGAUGUACCGGUCAUCCAUAAGGAUGUUUGGUAUCAUGAAGAGGAUGAUUUAGUAUGAAGUCUACUGGUCAUAUAUGUAUGCCUAGAGCUGGCAGGCAGCAGCCUGACCGGUUUGAAUUUCACCUUCUGCUCACCUCGGAUGAGAGCAACAAUCAUCACGAUCCCAGGGAACAGCCAAAGGAAGAGAAAAGGCAGAAGAUUUGGACAAGACUCCAUGAAGACUAACAGCUCUUGGAUAAUUGAGAGAAGGCAGCUGCAUGAACAGUUUCGAUGCACUCAUGAAGGCAGGGCCCAGCGCCUGUGGUACCUGCCUUUUUCUGGAACCAAUCCAUAUUUCCUUGUGGCUUUCUGAGGUACAGAGAGGGUACAUUGGGAACUUUGCUUGGGGUCGUUUUCACAUCUUAGAGAGAGGGAGGGACCCUCAGCAUCUGCGUUAGCGGAGGGUGAUCCUCAUGUCCCUCUGAAUGAGCUGGACUUGAGGGAACGAGUCCCUUCCAGGAAGCUGUCCCAUGACUGAAGCCUCAGCAGCAGCCUCUGUCAGUCCCCUCCCCCACAGAACCUUUGGCUUCCAUCUGACCAGCCUUGACACCCAGUGUCCAAACACCGAUAAAAUUGAUUCCACUAAGCGUGGGAAAGUCCUGGAGCAUCGAUUGUUUCCUCCUCUGCACCCCCGAUACCCUGGCAUUAGCGCUCUCCCAGAAUGUACCUUGCUUGUUUGAUUGGAGGAGGUCAAAGCCCUGAUGAAGAAUGAGUGGAAUUCCACAGGAUUGGGGCAGUCUUGAUAAAUGACAGCAGGGGAUGGUGUGGGGAGGGGAAAGGAUCGGAGGAAGUGGGGAUAACUGAAUGGCUUAAAAAAUAAUCCACCUUUGCCUCCCCUGGUUCUACCAGUCUGUCUAGUGCUUUCAGAAUGAAAAUUUAAAAAAGCUUGCCAUUCUAAACAUUUGGAGUUUCAAAAAUGAUCUAUAGAACAUGUUUAGUUUUUCAAGUUAAAAAUAUUAAAAGAAAAAAAAAAUGUUUGAGGGCUUUACUGCUUUCCCGCAAAGAGCUAGAGCCACCCAAGCAGGAUUGACUGUCAUUGGUUUGAGGUUUCUGCUUGCUUUGAGGCUAUUUUUUCCUUGGUGCUAUGAACUAGAUCAGUCCAUUUUUAGCUGAUAACCCUUUCCAAUUUCGCUAUGAAAUGAGAGGCUGGUUGGGUGGUCUUUUAUGUUCCUUCCAGCUUUGACUUUUAUGGUCUUUGAUUCCAAGGUACCUCAUCGGCUCUGAAGACAAGAGAUAGGUAGGUUCUAACUCCAGACAAGCCACUGCAAGAUGGUACCAGGAUGGGACAGAGAGUCUUUGUACUAUCUUUUAUAUGUUCUCAAACCCAGCCAGGGAUCAGAGUGACAGUAUACCAUGGGGAAUCAUAGAGAUGUUUAUGGUGAUGCUGCUAUGAGUCAACUGAGAUGUCCCCUAUGGAGAUGAUAAUUCCCCGUACUAUAGGCAGUUAGACAAAGAUGUAGAUGCCUCCAUUACAAAUGCUACCCAGAUCUAAUUAGGACCACACAUGCAGAGAACCCAACGGCUUUUGGACAUAUUGGCCAAUGGUCUUCUUGGGAAGGUCUCUUCUAGUCAUGGGAAUUGUCUUUUUAUUGUUUAAGCUUUUGCAUAGACCUGGAAGAGACAUCCAAUGCUGUUACCCCUGAGUUUAUAAUCAUGCUGCAAGUCCAGUGGGGAACUUUGGCACAAAGCGUUGAAUGAGAUGAGACUGCACUUAUGUAGCCUGUAUUUCUUGAGAAUAAAGAUUUCUGUUCAUUUGGUGCAGUGGUUCUCAUCUGGGGAAAACCCAGGGAGUAGAGGCCGGGAAUGCCACUAAAAUCCCUACACUGUGCAGGAAAGCUGUCAGCCCUUUGCCCCACAACAAGGGAUUAACUCGUUCCAAAAGUCAGUAGUGCUGUGUUUGAGAAACACUGUUAAGCACCUGGAAGUUCCAGAGAGCUCAGAUGGUGGUGGUCAUUGUGCUAAGUUUCAAAUUCAGUAUUUAGAUUUGGUUUUUAGCUUAUAGGCCACAAAUUGGCUGACUAUGGGGUAAAAAGGAAGUACCUCCUUUAUCAAGAUUGGCUUCAAAGGAUGUCUGUCUCCCCUUCUGGUGGGUCCUGUGUCCAUUCACAGUGUGAGAAAUGGAAAGGAAGUCACUAAGAGACUUGCAAUGGAUGUAAAACUGGAUGCAGAAACUCUGGAUCUGAAGGGAAUGUUCAUGACUAUUUCAUCCCUCCUGCCUUGGAGCACCAAACGCAGGAGCCACCCAAGGUGAAAACCAUCCAUUUCUUGGAGAAGUGCCACUGUGGGGCUGCAAGUCCCAGGGUCAAGAUUUCUAUGUGUCUCUUUUUCCCUUAAAGUGGCUGAAAUCUGAAGCUGAAAUUGCAAGUGUCAUGGAGUCAUUGAAUCUCAUAGUCUUGACUGAUAAAAGUUAUUAAAUGUCCUCUGGUUCAACCUUCUA